rnacentral:misc_RNA from 1 species
AGAGAGAGAGAGAGGAAGACAUACCCAAUUGAGAGAGCUACUGUAAGAGAGAGGAGUUGCUGUGGGAGAGAGGAGAGCUUCAGCAGUUUUGCGUGACAGAUGGAGGGUAACUAGGGUUUUAAUUUUUGUUGGGUUAAAAAAAAAAAGAGAAAAAAAAAAUACCGCUCCUUUCAAAAGGCGUCGCCUCAACUCCUUAACGCCCCUCGCCUUUGUCAGUUUGUUGUUGGGGCGGCUGCCUUUAACAACACUGAUAGGUCAUCAUCUGAUUUCCCACUCAAGUUCUGAACUUUUUCAUAACUACCAUUAGAUUGAUAUCCUUCAAUUUCUUACACGCUAAUUUCAUCUAAAUCAGCCUCAAGAUAAUCAAAUUGUGGCUGGGAAGGCUUUUAAACUUGCACUUGACUUGCUAAUAUUGAUUUUUUUUUUCCUUGGUUUCUUGAGUUUUCAUUUGCUUCUCAAACUUCAGCCUUGUUUACUUGGAGAAAAGUUGGAACAGCAGCCAACCCAAAGAAAAGAGAACACAAGCUUGAGUAGCAUGUUUUCUUUUUUAAUGAUUUUGAUGCAUGUUGAAUAUUAUAAUCUUAUCAAACUAAAAGAACAAAGCCACAUUAUCCUUCAGAAAGAUAGGAGAUGUUAAUUUUAAUAAGGCAUGUAUCUUUGGCUUCAUGCACUCCAAAAGUGGUGUGCGUUUGGGCUUGGAAAGUAGGUGCCUUGUAAAAGGUCUCUUUUCUGUAAUGGUCUCAAAGCACUGGACCCAUCUUGCUGCACAUUUGCAGCUUGCUUUUGACUAUACUAGUUGUGUGAUCUCAAGUUUGACACUCAAGAGAUGAGAGCAUGAUCCCAUGUUUCACACACACACACACACACAC